rnacentral:rRNA from 1 species
AAAAGGUGGCUAUGCUACCGCUUUUGGAUGGGCCCGCGGCGCAUUAGCUAGUUGGUGGGGUAAAGGCUUACCAAGGCAAUGAUGCGUAGCCGAACUGAGAGGUUGAUCGGCCACAUUGGGACUGAGACACGGCCCAAACUCCUACGGGAGGCAGCAGUAGGGAAUCUUCCACAAUGGGCGAAAGCCUGAUGGAGCAACGCCGCGUGGGUGGAGAAGGUCUUCGGAUCGUAAAACCCUGUUGUUAGAGAAGAAAGUGCGUGAGAGUAACUGUUCACGUUUCGACGGUAUCUAACCAGAAAGCCACGGCUAACUACGUGCCAGCAGCCGCGGUAAUACGUAGGUGGCAAGCGUUAUCCGGAUUUAUUGGGCGUAAAGGGAACGCAGGCGGUCUUUUAAGUCUGAUGUGAAAGCCUUCGGCUUAACCGGAGUAGUGCAUUGGAGACUGGGAGACUUGAGUGCAGAAGAGGAGAGUGGAACUCCAUGUGUAGCGGUGAAAUGCGUAGAUAUAUGGAAGAACACCAGUGGCGAAAGCGACUCUCUGGUCUGUAACUGACGCUGAGGUUCGAAAGCGUGGGUAGCAAACAGGAUUAGAUACCCUGGUAGUCCACGCCGUAAACGAUGAAUGCUAAGUGUUGGAGGGUUUCCGCCCUUCA